CAGAAUUUCAUUUUCUGAUUUUUUACAUCACAAAUACUCUUGUAUUAAUUAUAUUGUUUUGUUCUAGAAAAUAUUUUAACGCCAACUAAACAGAGCUGAAAUUAUAGACUUGCAUACAGUUUAAUAGAAAUUCACUAAUAGCUAUCCAUUUGAAAAUAACCCUGAAAUAUAAGAAUAUAGAGCACAGAAUCACCAACUAUGGAAUCCUCACUGCCACGGGCAGAAGAAGGCAAUGGACUGCUCUGUGGAGCACACAAUUAUCUAAACUCCAUGCUCAGCCCUAGAUUGGAGGAACAAGCUGGACAGAGCCAGACUUUGCAGGCUCAGCUAAAAUGUCUAACAAUGGCAAGCAGAGACACAAGCUUCGAGGAGUGGUUUAGCAGUCGGCCACCAAGGAUCCAGAGAUAUACCUGGGUGUAAAAUGAAGAAACCUCUGCUGCCCAAGUUAUUUGCAUGGGGAAAGAGGGGCAACCUAAAUUCCUAAUCUAGACGAAUGGAUGCUCCAAAUGCCAGGAGAUAUGUGCAGGUGUGAAGAGGAGAGAGCUGCUAUAUCAAAUUGUUCACAUCAAAAGAGAGGGGGUGGCACAGGCUUCUAAUCUAGGAAAGAAAAGGCAUGCUUCUAAAAAUAAUACAAGGAGAGGAACUAGAAACUGAGGCUAUUAUCGGAAAAUGGAUACAUAUAGUCAUGAUGCCAAGUACCAGUUGUUUUGCCAAAAUGGUUUUGCAUGAUGCAUGAUGUUUCAUCCUGGAACGAUUUCUUUUUAUUAGGUAUGUGGCAGACUGCAGAGUGAAUUAAUUUAGCUGGAGAAGUGCUAAAAGAAUUUUACAGCUGCCAGGAGGAGAACAUGAAGAUAUAACUAAUGAAAUUGCUUGGCUCCACCUAUAUUACAUGAAAGUUUGUGGCUGAGAUUGAAGAAAAGCCAAAGUUAAAAGGGUGGAAUACUGGACUUAAUUAUUUUAAUUAUUAUUACCAACUUAAAUUUUUUCCUAGUAAUCUGACAAAAAGCUCAUUUGAUAAUAUAAUUUGCAUACUUAAUAUUGCCAUUUGAAUUGAUUGUACAAAAUCUACUUUAAAAAAUUGGAUAAUAUCACCAAAGUUUAACUAAGAAAUAGAGUAGAAAUAGAAUUGUUGGCCUAGGCUAAAAAGUGGCCUUAAUAUUUCUUUAAUGAUUAUUCUAUUUUCAGUCAUUUAUUAUCUUUAAGUAAGACAUGUUUUACAGUCCUAGGAAGAGGUAGUGGUUGCUAUUGGACUCCUGACCUCAGGAAAGCAGAGUAAGUCUAUGCUGGUAAAGUCUUGGUCUCUUCCUCAUGAGGCAAACAAACACACACAUUGUUGACGACAGCCUUAGUUAUUCACCUGAACAGGUUUUGAAUAAAAAUUUAUGGAGAAACAUUAUCUCAUUGCUCCUAAUAUUUUAAGGAUGAAAGAGCGCAAUAAUAAAGCAUUAUGAAAAAUCCACCCUAACUCUGCAUUAUAUUUUUCUCAAAAGAAAGACUGUGAUUAAUUCUGUUGAUACAAUUAUAGGAAGUCUGAAAAUCAUUUGGCCGCAUUGUGUAUAGAAAAGGAGAAUUUACAUUUCAACCUCUCAUGCUUUGGAUCUAUGUAUCUUUUGGCUUUUUGGACCAGCUAAGCAUAUCCUAAUUUAUCUCCAUUCUGUUGCAAAUGUUUUUACAAUGUUUUACAUGGCUGCCCCCAUGAGCUUGGAAUAAUUAUUGAUAGUUAUACACAUAUUUCCAAUUGCAGUUACAUUGAUACAAUACAUAGUUCAUGGAAAAAAUGAAGGAAGAUAGGAAGAAAGGAUGCAUGAGUAGUAUGUGAUUCUUAUAAGAAUAUUAGGAAAUGAACAUUAUUUCCCCUUUUUCCUAAAAUAUGCAGAAAGAUUUUUCAAUUGGCCUAUGACUAAACACAGUAAUGAUGAAACUAACAAGAUCUUAGAUAUUCUGAUUGUUAAUAUGGCAUCAAUCCAAUUAUACAGGUUACUUUACUUUUCAUAAUUUCCUGUCAUAGUUUAAUAAAUUAUUUUUUAUAAAUUAUAAUGCAAAAUUGAUAUAUUUCUUUAGUGAUUGAGAGUCUUCUCAAUAUACUUUCGACAUAUUAUAAAGUACCCAGUCUUAAUCAUGUCUUGCCUUCAGGUCUUUUUUCUUUUCUUGCAAAAAUACCAAUAUAAGCUAAAACCAUAACUAAUAGGAUAGUAAUGUAAUUUAAAAUAUGAUACAAAACAUGCACUCUCCUAUUUAUCUCUAGAGAUUGCUACAUAAACAAAUUCAGCAGAGUUUUUCAUUUCAUUUUUUAUAAUAAAUGAUGAUGUGUGACAAUAUAGAAAGCAGUCUUAACUAGAUUUACACAUUUCAAAUUGAACUAGUUUUAAUUUCAUAUCUAAAAAGGGUUUCAAAUGGACAUCAUUUACAAGAAUUACUGGGUUAAUAUUCUCAGAGAUUUAAUUGUAAUGGAUUAUUACCUAGCUAUGAUUUAUCAUAAUGUGGAAAAAUAGAUUAAUUCAUAUGGUUUCUAAAAAGACUCAAUAUUAUGAUUAAAAGCAGUGACCUCAUUUUUUAUUAGUUUGAUACUGCCUGGGAAGAAUUCCUCACCUUAUAUGUUUGAGCUAGAAACGCAGUAGCUACUGCAGCAUUUUCUGAGGGCCACAAUGGUCACUGUGCCAGAGGCUAUGUCCAGUGUCUGUUGAUGAUUGUGUGUGGGAUAUUGGCUAGAUCACCUUCUCUCUGGAAGAUUCUGUGUAGUGAUCAGAGCAGAAGACGUGGCUACUUAGCCUCUCUGGAUAAAUGCUUAUUUAUCAGAGUGGUUCUCCAGCCAUUUCAGUUAUUCAAUGAGCUCCUUGUACCUUUUAUCACGAAAUCCCUUUCCUGUUUAAUUCAAGCACAGCUGGGUUUUUGGAACAGUGUAUUAUUUCCUAGGGCUGCCACCACAAAUUGUUACACACUAGGUAGCUUAAUAUGACAAAUUUAUUAUCUCAGAGUUCUGAAAACCAUAAGUCCCCAAAUCAAGGUUUUGGUGGGGCUGUGCUCCCUCUGAAGGCUCUAGGGGAGGAUUCUGCCUACCUCUCCCAGCUCGCGGUGGCUCCCGGCACUCCUCACUUCCCUGGCUGCAUCCCUCAAAACUCUGCAGUCACGCUGCCUCCUCCUCUUCAUUGUCUGUGUCUUCUUUCUCUUGUAAGGGGAGUUGUCAUUGGAUUGAGGGUUUACUCAAAUAAUACAAAAGAUCUCAUUUUAAGACCCUUAAUUGCAUUUACAAAGACCAUUUUCUCAUAGAAAUUCACACUCACAGUUUUCCAAGGGCCAGGAUGUGGACAUAUAUUUUUGGGGGGCCACCCCUUGACCCACUCCAGAAGUGUCCGUGGAUUGACACUUUACAGAAUUCUCAUUUUAUUUAAUCUAGUUUGUAUCGUCAUUGAAAAGUUGUAUCUUGUUUCUGAGCUAAAACACCCUCUAGUCCACCUUUUCACAGUCUAAAUUCAGGAAUAAAGGGUAAUAAAUAUUAAGGAAACACUCGUCUUCAAAAUAGCUGACUCCCUCAGCCCAUCAUCUGUCAGUCUACUUUAAGCACUGCCUGAUAGACAUGAGUAGGCUCACGUCACGUUGGGGGUUUUACAAGAACAUUAACUAUCUUGUACUAGAAAUGGGCUAAUCAGCUGUCACCUGUAUGGCAGUUCAGACAAGUGCAAGUACUUCCUUUGAGUUAUGAUCUUGUAAAAAUGAGAGUUUAUAACUGAAAAGCUGGUCACUGUGACAUGCAAUUCUGAAAGACUGUUUAACAUUUCUGGAGACAACAUAGUUUGUAAAUAAGGGGCAUUUAUUACUACAGACAGCCUCGGGGUACACAUUCAUUAUCCACUGACAAGUACAGAUACAAACGCAAAGGCUUAAUUCAUUAGCAUGUAGGUAACAUGUUAUAUUUAAAAUUAGGGUAAAUGGAAAUAUAUUUCAUAAAGAUACAAUGAUUUAAUUAAUUCAAUUACUUUUUAACUUAGAAUAUGAUUUUAGAUAGAAAAAGUCUGCAGAUGUGUAACUUGCUUUCCAUAGUCAAAGAUUUUAAAUUGUUUGGCUUACUUCAAAAGAGAGGUACUUAUGUCAAUCAGCACUGAUUUAGAUUGAUGUAUUUAUAGCUUAAUAAAUGUUCACACUUUUUAAAAAUAAAUUUCUAACAUGAAAAAUCCUAUAUGGUAUAGUAAACCCAAAUUUUGUUGGAGUAGAUUUUUUUUCUCUAGCUCAUUUAAUGUCACAUUGUUUGACAUUACAAAAAGUUCCUGAAUGAUUUGUGUGUUUUAAAGAAACUAUUAACAUCAUUCCUUUUCUACUCAGUUUUCAUACACUCAGUAUUUAUUUUCAACUGAUGUAAAAAUUUGAAAUCAUUUAUGAAUAUAAAAAUAUUACAUAUUAUAAUUAUAGCUUUACAUAUGUUUUUUCAAUCAAUCAAUCAAUAAGUACUUUUUCAUAGCUAAAUUAGAGAGUGGCAUCCUUUGAAGUGCUGUGAAAACUGAACAGAAUUAAAAAGAAAACAUCCCUGCCCUCAAGUAGCUUACAUUCUGGAACGGAGAGACAUAUGCUAAACCCAAAACUUUAAAAUAUAUAAUAUGUUACAUAGUUAUAAGUACUAGGAUGAAAUGGAAAAAGGCAACAGAAAGGGCAGUAGGUGUGGAGGAUAAUUUUAAAUUUAAAUAACUCAGAGUGCACUGGCAUAACUGAGAAGGUUCUUCUGAGCAAAGACUUGAGAGAAGUGAAAUAUUCAUUAUAUACAGAUAUCUGAGGAAGGCUUCUCCAGGCAAGGGGACUUGCAGUGCAAAGACCCUGAAAAACACAGUACUGCUUAGAAGUCAGUGGAAAGAAAUGAGGGACAACAAUGGCUGGAAUUAGAUGAGGGAAUGAUAGGAGAGGUAAGAUUACACUAGAAAGGGGAAGGACAGGGAUUACUACAAUAAUAGGGACUUCACUCUGAGUAAACUGGAAGGUCACUACACAUUCUGAACUGACAGAACCAAUGUAUAUUUUAUAGAAUUAUUCAAGCUGCGUAGGCAGUGGAUGAGGUUAAGGGUGGUGGAGUUAAAACAGGAAGACAGUGACAAAGUUAUUUCAAUUUUUCAAGUAAGAAAUAGUGGCAACAUUGAAUAGGGUAGUGACGACUGGCUGAUUAGAAGUGGCUGAAUUUCUGAACAUAUUUUGAAAGUAUUAUGUUGCCAAGAAAUUUAACUGGAAGACAGAUUGUGAGGUUUGAAGAGAAAAAAAUGAGGCCAAAGUGACUCAUAUAGUUGAGCCAAGCAACUGAAAGGCUGUUACUAUUUAUCAAUAAUGGAACGCCUAUAGAAGAACCAAGUGUAAGGAGUAAGGUUAUGUGCUCAGUUUAGAAAUAAAAGGUGUGUAUAUAUCCUUUGCAUCUGCCUUAACAGCACCUAUAUCUCUUUUUUUUCCUAUAUUUUAUUUUAUUUUAAGUUCUGGGAUACAUGUGCAGGCCGUGCAAGUUUGUCACAUAGGUAAAUGUGUGCCAUGGUGGUUUGCUGCACCCAUCAACCCAUCACCUAGGUAUUAAGCCUUGCAUGCAUUGGCUAUUUAUCCUGAGCUUUCCCUCACCCUGCACCCACAACAGGCCCUGGUGCGUGUUGUUCCCCUCCCAGUGUUCAUGUGUUCCCAUUGUUGAGCUCCUACUUAUAAGUGAGAACAUGUAGUAUUUGGUUGUCUGUUUCUGUGUUAGUUUGCUGAGGAUAAUGGUUUCCAGCUCCAUCCAUGUCCCUGCAAAGGAGAUUAUCUCAUUCCUUUUUAUGGCUGCAGAGUAUUCUGUGCCACAUUUUCUUUAUCUAGUCUAUCAUUGAUGGGCAUUUGGGUUGAUUCCAUGUCUUUGCUAUUGUGAAGAAUGCAGCAAUAUACGUACGCAUGCAUGUAUCUUUAUAAUAGAAUGAUUUAUAUUCCUUUGGGUGUAUACCCAGUAAUGGGAUUGCUGGGUUAAAUGGUAUUUCUGCUUCUAGAUUCUUAAGGAAUCACCACACUGUCUUCCACAAUGGUUGAACUAAUUUACACUUCCACUAACAGUGGAAAAGUGUUCCUAUUUCUCCACAGCCUCGACAACAUCUGCUGUUUCUUGACUUUUUAAUAAUUGCCAUUCUGGCUGGUGUGAGAUGAUAUCUCAUUGUGGUUUUGAUUUGCAUUUCCCUAAUGAUCAGUGAUGUUGAGCUUUUUUUCAUGUUUGUUGGUUGCAUAAAUGCCUUCUUUUAAAAGUGUCUGUUUGUGUCCUUUGCCUGAUUUUUGAUGGGGUUGUUUGGUUUAUUUUUGGAAAUUCGUUUAUGUUCCUUGUAGAUUCUGGAUAUUAGACCUUUGUUGGAUGGAUAGAUUGCAAAAAUUUUCUCCCAUUCCAUAGGUUUUCUGUUCAUUCUGAUGAUAGAUUCUUUCGCUGAACAGCACCUGUGUCUCUACUUCUACAUCUGUGUGUAAGUGUUUCUACAUAUAUGCAACUGUAUCUCCAACUCUUAUCACAAUAUCUGGAAUUAGUAGACAACCUGUAAAUAUUUGUUGAAUAAAUGUUGAGUACAUACACAUCACAUGCAAUUUGGUUGAUAUUACAGGUAGUGUGAAACAACAUAGCAUCCAAAUUUAAAAUUAGAUGUAAAAUAUGUCCUAUAUUCUUUCAGAAACAUAAUUUUAAUGGUUGUCAAUAUAUAUGUACAAAUAUUCUAAGUAAUUGACAAAGCAUUUAAUUGGUAUCUACUGAGAUAGGAUAUCUGCAUCCCAGGUCAUUUUUCUUAUUAAGUGAAUGAACUAAAUAAAAUUAUUUAAUCUUUUUAAGAUACAACUUUCUUAUUUCUGAAAUGUGAUACUGUCACAUUUUUCUGAGAUUAGAAUAUGUAUAUAAUAAACAUCUGAACACAGCAGGCAACAAAUGAAUUACAGAUGUUAUUAAAAUGUGUAUCAUUUGAAGUAUGUUAAAAUUACAUUAAUUCAAUAAAACUUGUGGAAUUGCUGGGUCAGUAAUAUAUGUAUUAAUCUGGGGAAAAACAAAUAUAAAAUAUAGUAGAAAAAUGUAUACUGUAGAAAUAAUGUAUAUUAAAAACAUAAAGUCAACUGUAGUAUAUGUAUAUGUAGCAUAGUAUAUAAUGCGUGUAUAUAUAGAGUGUUUUAUGUAUAUGUUACAAUGUAUAUAGUAUAUAUAUAGCAUAGUAUAUACAGUAUAUGAAAACAGUGUGUAUAUAGUAGAAAAAUGUAUAUUGAAUUGAAAAUACUUGAUCUUAAUUAGUUACAAAAUUGCCUAAAAACAAUGCAAUUGUGGGACAAACAAAUCAUAUGCUAUUACAGACCAUGUUCCAGACUUCAAUUAUAAGACACUGAAACCUACCUCAAAUUUGUCCCUGUUUGUAGGGGGUAUGAAUCAUAAAUGAAUAAAAAUUGUAUAGAAACAAUAUGCCAACUAUUUAGCAAUUAAAUAGAAUAUGUCUCGGUUACCUUGCAAUGUAAAGAUGAAAAUACUUUGUAUUAGAUUAUUCCAUAUAUGAUUUGAUUAAAUCAUUCUAACAACACUUGCUCUAGUUGGUCUGAACUUGUUUAAUUUUGUAUUAAAGCAAAUGCUGCAGAAUAAAGUUCAAAUGCGGGCCUUGAAAGCAGUUUCUCUGUGUAGACAUUUAACUUAUUUUUGUGAUAAUUUUUAACUAAAUUAUUUUUUAAAGCUUCACUAUAACCUGUUCAGGC
rnacentral:lncRNA from 1 species